rnacentral:sRNA from 1 species
GAUGCCAGGGGCAAAAGGCCUAAACCCACAUGAGCUUGCUCAUAAGUGGGUGCAGGGCCUUGGGUCCCGCCCCAAUAUGAGCAUAAAAGUGGGAUGUAUGUCCCACGAUAUGCGAAUAUUGGGUAGGAUUGUGAGAGUGCGUAGCACGAAACAAUCCGCAGGCAUC